rnacentral:rRNA from 1 species
GAUGAACGCUGGCGGCGUGCCUAAUACAUGCAAGUCGAGCGAACAGACGAGGAGCUUGCUCCUCUGACGUUAGCGGCGGACGGGUGAGUAACACGUGGAUAACCUACCUAUAAGACUGGGAUAACUUCGGGAAACCGGAGCUAAUACCGGAUAAUAUAUUGAACCGCAUGGUUCAAUAGUGAAAGACGGUUUUGCUGUCACUUAUAGAUGGAUCCGCGCCGCAUUAGCUAGUUGGUAAGGUAAGGGCUUACCAAUGCAACGAUGCGUAGCCGACCUGAGAGGGUGAUCGGCCAAACUGGAACUGAGAAACGGUCCAGACUCCUACGGGAGGCAGCAGUAGGGAAUCUUCCGCAAUGGGCGAAAGCCUGACGGAGCAACGCCGCGUGAGUGAUGAAGGUCUUCGGAUCGUAAACCUCUGUUAUUAGGGAAGAACAAAUGUGUAAGUAACUAUGCACGUCUUGACGGUACCUAAUCAGAAAGCCACGGCUAACUACGUG